UACGUAGGCAGCGAGCGUUGUUCGGAGUUACUGGGCGUAAAGAGUGCGUAGGCGGUUUUCUAAGUUUGGUGUGAAAUCUCCCGGCUUAACUGGGAGGGUGCGCCGAAGACUGGAAGGCUUGAGUAUGGGAGAGGUAAGCGGGAAUUCCUGGUGUAGCGGUGAAAUGCGUAGAUAUCAGGAGGAACACCUGCGGUGUAGACGGCUUACUGGACCAUCACUGACGCUGAGGCACGAAAGCGUGGGUAGCAAACAGG
rnacentral:rRNA from 1 species